CCUACGGGUGGCAGCAGUGGGGAAUAUUGGACAAUGGGGGCAACCCUGAUCCAGCCAUGCCGCGUGUGUGAAGAAGGCCCUCGGGUUGUAAAGCACUUUCAGUGAGGAAGAACGCCUGGUGGUUAAUACCCAUCAGGAAAGACAUCACUCACAGAAGAAGCACCGGCUAACUCCGUGCCAGCAGCCGCGGUAAUACGGAGGGUGCGAGCGUUAAUCGGAAUUACUGGGCGUAAAGCGCGCGUAGGUGGCUUGAUAAGCCGGUUGUGAAAGCCCCGGGCUCAACCUGGGAACGGCAUCCGGAACUGUCAAGCUAGAGUGCAGGAGAGGAAGGUAGAGUUCCCGGUGUAGCGGUGAAAUGCGUAGAGAUCGGGAGGAAUACCAGUGGCGAAGGCGGCCUUCUGGACUGACACUGACACUGAGGUGCGAAAGCGUGGGUAGCAAACAGGAUUAGAUACCCCAGUAGUC
rnacentral:rRNA from 1 species